rnacentral:rRNA from 1 species
CCUACGGGAGGCAGCAGUGAGGAAUAUUGGUCAAUGGGCUAAGGCCUGAACCAGCCAAGUCGCGUGAGGGAAGACGGUCCUAUGGAUUGUAAACCUCUUUUGUCGGGGAGCAACGAGGCCACGUGUGGCCGAAGUGAGAGUACCCGAAGAAAAAGCAUCGGCUAACUCCGUGCCAGCAGCCGCGGUAAUACGGAGGAUGCGAGCGUUAUCCGGAUUUAUUGGGUUUAAAGGGUGCGGAGGCGGGCUUUUAAGUCAGCGGUAAAAAUUCGGGGCUCAACCCCGUCCGGCCGUUGAAACUGGGGGCC